rnacentral:misc_RNA from 1 species
GCCUUUUGAAUAAUAGAGAGAAAUUCUUUCCCUCUAUGGCUCAUCUCCAUUACGCUCAUGCCAGAUCCGCCCCAGUUAUAGAGCUCCGCCUGGGCUUUCUUGAGGACGUUGGCAGGUAAGAUGGCAGGACCGGCAGCGAAAUUGUAUACACGGUCCUUGGAAUCUUCGGUUGCGGGGAUUGGCGAGACUGGAGCUGUUGAUGUGGCUGGACAUCUGAUUUAAAUGGUUAUGGGUGGCGAAAUUAGCGAAGGUAGCGGUGGAGGAAUUAGGUUUAAGGAGGAGGAGGAGGUGGCUAUUGGGAUUUUUGGGAAGGAGAGAAUUUGGUAAUGAGGUGAGUUUUGAUGCCAUUGGCGGUUGAGAUUUCAAAAAGAACAAGAAAAACACAGAGAGUGACUUUUUUCAGCAGAGGAACAAGAGUCGUGCUUCUGCUGUUGAGGCGCUAAAAGAU